rnacentral:lncRNA from 1 species
CUGGCUGGUACAAGGCCAGGGGAGUUCCCAGCAACUGAGGUCAUCUAGAAAUAUAGGCUCAGCCUAUUGGUUGAGGGGGGUGGGGGCCAUGCCAUGUCCUUUAUGAUCCAUGUGAGUAGGGAGCCUGUAAAGCUGUGGUCCUACUGUGCUCCAGUGCCAGCUUUUCCAUGUCAAGUCCCAAGUCUUCUCACACUUCCUUCUCUGGACUACCAAGGGACCUAUAGCUCUGUUGCUAAACAUGGCCAUUCCUAUCAUCUGGAAGUUCCUGGCUAAGCAUUGACAAUGGCUCCAGAAAUGGGCACAUCCCUCCUGGGUCUGAGACCUACCUGGCCUAGCAGCCAACAGGGACAGAGCAGUGAAACUUCUAGACUUACCACCGCAGCAGCCAGUUCUCACUGGCCUCUCUGUGUCUGCGUUACUUUUGGCCUCUAGUGCCACCCGCUCAGAGUGCCAGUAAGCCAGAGCUGCCACCUGGAGCUGUUAGGAACAAAUUUUUCUGGAGAUAGGGAUAAGCCUUUGCUCGAAGCAGGAGUGGCCUGGCUAGUGUGCUGGGCAGACAGUGGGUCUACUUUGCCCGUCCCUGUGAUUAACUGUGUCCAAGUUAAAACAAGAAGAAAAGAAGAGUGUUUGUUUCCCAGGUCUCCCUUUAGUUAAGGCAGUUAGUCCUCAGGGGAGGAAGGCAGGGGUCAGCCAAAGCAUACCUGAGUCCUCCUUAGCUGUUGUACAUCCCAGGAAAGUCAAGUAAGCCCUUUGCUCUGCCUCUUCUUUCUCCAGGCUCUGUACCAUGGAAAGUUCAUCGACACAGGCUUCACCCUCCCUUUCUACAAGCGGAUGCUCAACAAGAGACCAACUCUCAGGGACCUGGAGUCUAUUGACCCUGAGUUUUACAACUCCAUUAUCUGGAUCAAAGAGAACAACCUGGAUGAGUGUGGCCUGGAGCUGUUCUUCAUCCAGGACAUGGAGAUCCUGGGCAAGGUGACAACCCAUGAACUGAAGGAAGGCGGAGAGAACAUCCGAGUUACUGAGGAGAACAAGGAGGAGUAUAUCAU